UCUGCAGGAAGAAAAUACUUCUAAUUCUUCUUGAAUGAAUUCAAAUAAUUUUGUGGGAGUGGGACAGUGCACUAUGGCUAAAACAAAAUUGAAGAUUGCGCAUCACAAAAUCCAACAUCAAGGGCACUUUAAGGAAUUCAUUUGUGUCAAAUUGGCUCCGGUGUUCAGGCAUAGGACCAGGAGUACAGCUGGGUACAAGACAUGAACACCUUUACGUUGUUUAGUGACACCGGUAAAAUGAAUGCAUCAGGUAAUUAAUCUAGGCUGGAAGAUGCUGAAAUGCACAUCCUAUUUGCCAGAAAAAAGACAGUGGGAUGGUUGCUGCUUCACAUGUGCUAGUCACUGGAGCUCAUUACUGAUGCCUGGUAGUAAUUAACUAGAAAAAAACUCUUGUGGCAACCUGCUCUUUACUAGUGAUCUUUUCACCCUUUAUUUAUUUUUUCUGUGAUGGUAGUAGCAAGUGGUUAAACACAACCAUGAUUUGUGCAGUUUGGAUCCUGAAUCUUGAUCUAGUUUUGACAGAGGGGGGCAUGCCCCAUGCACGUGAGGAGACCACUCACUGCUGAGUCACAGAGGCGAGUGAAAAGAAGACAGACGGUGCUGGAGGAAUUGAAGAUCCCUAUGCACCAUCUGGAGGAGGAGGAGAAAGAGCAUGGGUAUGGAGGAGGUAGCUGCUGCUGCUCACCAAAGGUGCCCAGGUAAAGCCUGGAAGGUUUGGUGGUGGCCAGGAUGGACUUCUCUGGAAACAAGAAGCUGACGAGAGAAAGAGGCAGGUAAGUCAUAUGCAUGCGUGGCAGCAUGACAUGGCUGGGGUAUGACGUUGUACUUUCUGCCUGCCAGCAGCGCCAGGUGACGCCCGCCACUGACUGACGCUACAAUCGGUGCAGAUGGAUCCAAGCUACCUAUGUGCCUACGUGUCAGUGGACCAGAAAGGCCUCUCGCCCUGAGUCAGCACCGUGUCCUGAGCCUAGAGCCCACCGAGUGCACACUUGGCACACUUGGAUGACACGUGUUUUUUCUCGACGUUUUCAAUAAAUAUCGCAUCUCUAAUUCUAAA